rnacentral:rRNA from 1 species
AGCGAACGUUAGCGGCGGGCUUAACACAUGCAAGUCGAACGAGAAAGAAGACUUCGGUCUUUGAGUAAAGUGGCGGACGGGUGAGUAACACGUGAGCAAUCUGCCCUCCGGCGGGGGACAACAGUUCGAAAGGACUGCUAAUACCGCAUACGUCAUUCGGGUCUUCGGACCUGAAUGGGAAAGACUGCCUCUUCUUGAAAGCAGUCACCGGAGGAGGAGCCCGCGUCGCAUCAGCUAGUUGGUGGGGUAAUGGCCUACCAAGGCUAAGACGCGUAGCUGGUCUGAGAGGAUGAUCAGCCACACUGGAACUGAGACACGGUCCAG